UACCUGCAAGUCGAGCGGAAACGAUCCUAGCUUGCUAGGAGGCGUCGAGCGGCGGACGGGUGAGUAAUGCAUAGGAAUCUGCCCGGUAGUGGGGGAUAACCUGGGGAAACCCAGGCUAAUACCGCAUACGCCCUACGGGGGAAAGCAGGGGAUCUUCGGACCUUGCGCUAUCGGAUGAGCCUAUGUCGGAUUAGCUUGUUGGUGAGGUAAUGGCUCACCAAGGCGACGAUCCGUAGCUGGUCUGAGAGGAUGAUCAGCCACAUCGGGACUGAGACACGGCCCGAACUCCUACGGGAGGCAGCAGUGGGGAAUAUUGGACAAUGGGCGAAAGCCUGAUCCAGCCAUGCCGCGUGUGUGAAGAAGGCUUUCGGGUUGUAAAGCACUUUCAGUGAGGAAGAAUGCCUUGGGCUUAAUACGUCCGAGGAAAGACAUCACUCACAGAAGAAGCACCGGCUAACUCCGUGCCAGCAGCCGCGGUAAUACGGAGGGUGCGAGCGUUAAUCGGAAUUACUGGGCGUAAAGCGCGCGUAGGUGGCUUGAUAAGCCGGUUGUGAAAGCCCCGGGCUCAACCUGGGAACGGCAUCCGGAACUGUCAGGCUAGAGUGCAGGAGAGGAAGGUAGAAUUCCCGGUGUAGCGGUGAAAUGCGUAGAGAUCGGGAGGAAUACCAGUGGCGAAGGCGGCCUUCUGGACUGACACUGACACUGAGGUGCGAAAGCGUGGGUAGCAAACAGGAUUAGAUACCCUGGUAGUCCACGCCGUAAACGAUGUCGACUAGCCGUUGGGGUCCUUGAGACCUUUGUGGCGCAGUUAACGCGAUAAGUCGACCGCCUGGGGAGUACGGCCGCAAGGUUAAAACUCAAAUGAAUUGACGGGGGCCCGCACAAGCGGUGGAGCAUGUGGUUUAAUUCGAUGCAACGCGAAGAACCUUACCUACCCUUGACAUCGUGC
rnacentral:rRNA from 1 species